CCGCCCAAUGCGCCGCCCACACCUGCUUCGGUGGUGCCGCCAGCGGAGGCCAUGCCACUGACCAGGCCAAGGGACAACAAGAGAAUCGAGGAGAACUUCAUGGAGGAACCUCAAGGGGAUGACGACGCGAUCCUGAGGCUGUGUAAGGGGUGUGACAAUCGAAAUCCGACGAGUAACACGACUUCAGCACAUUUCUAUAAGUUACUGUUUUUUGGGCGGAACUUAAUGGUUUUUCGCCGGUCUUUUAUUACUUCGGAUAGGCCGUUUUCAUGAGGAAACGGCCUUUUUUGUGGGCGUUUGGAAAUUGUUUUGCCAGCGACACGGCUAAAAGAUCGCAGCCUGCGGCAGCUCCUGCAGAGAUCGGCGUAGGAGCUACCGAAGGCUGCGAU
rnacentral:sRNA from 1 species